UAAAUAAACAUUAAAAAAAAGAGAGAGAGAGAGUCCUAAGUCAGACCCUCUUGAAACUCCACCUAUUCAGAAGUCUCAACCGUAUGACGCUUAGCAGUAAGAUUCUGUUCACAGGACAAUCGCCUCUGUUUCAAUAAUGAUUUCUUCCAGGUUGUAUUGGACUGCCUGAGUGAAGUUCUAAGAAUCUUGGGAAAGAUCCUAGUUGUUGAGCUUAGAAUUUGGAUUUCUAAGCACUACGUACAUCCAUCCUGUCAUUACGCAGAGACUUACGAAGUAUUUACGACUAGAAACUAUGGGUGUCUGUUUGGAGCUGGAAGCAGAGAGAUGGGAGCAAAAGGUAGAACCAAAUUGCCGUACAGCCAAUUAGUUAUGCGGUGAAAAUGUUUGCAGCGAAAUGCUUUGGGACAGUGAUGUCUAUUGUGGAGAUGGUCACAGUAGAAACACCAGACAUGAUCUUCAUCAUCCACACACUCUGGAAUCCUCACCACUACUCCGGAUAUGUUCUUUCCAAGGUUAUAAGACUCAGUCCACACUGCCAAAUCGAAUAGUUAUUUUUUGGCCCUCAUCCUGCUCCACCUUUCAGCAUCCCGCCCUGCUUUCCACACGCUUGUUCGUGACAUUUUCUGUAGUGUCUCCAGCCUCUCAUUCUCCAGUUCCUUUUCCUUUAGUGCCUCAAUGAUUUAAUGCCUCAGAGCUCGGCCUGGCAUUUCCUUUCCCAACUCCCUGUUCAUUCCUAUGACCUUAAAUAUAUAUUAAAAAUGCACAAAUAUAUAUCCCAGUCCAACCUUC